rnacentral:rRNA from 1 species
CCUACGGGAGGCAGCAGUGAGGAAUAUUGGUCAAUGGGCGAGAGCCUGAACCAGCCAAGUAGCGUGAAGGAUGAAGGUCCUACGGAUUGUAAACUUCUUUUAUACGGGAAUAAAGUAUCCUACGUGUAGGAUUUUGUAUGUACCGUAUGAAUAAGCAUCGGCUAACUCCGUGCCAGCAGCCGCGGUAAUACGGAGGAUGCGAGCGUUAUCCGGAUUUAUUGGGUUUAAAGGGAGCGUAGGUGGAUUGUUAAGUCAGUUGUGAAAGUUUGCGGCUCAACCGUAAAAUUGCAGUUGAAACUGGCAGUCUUGAGUACAGUAGAGGUGGGCGGAAUUCGUGGUGUAGCGGUGAAAUGCUUAGAUAUCACGAAGAACCCCGAUUGCGAAGGCAGCUUGCUAAACUGUAACUGACGUUCAUGCUCGAAAG